GAAAACUUAAAAGCUGCUCUCAAGAUAGGGGAUGAACACGAGACUCAGAAGCAGCAGCAUGAUGCUUUAGCUCAUUUUGAAGAGGGUGAAGUUAAUGACUUGGCAAAAGAGAAGGACGAGGGUAAGCGUCAUAAAAAAAAAGAGAAGAGAAGAGGACGUGACAAUUCUUCUGACACUGACAGCAGUGAAAGCCAUGCCAAAGAGUCUAAAAAGAUCCGUAAGAAGGCUCUUGCUAGUUCUGAUUCUGAUACUGCUGGUGGUAAUAAGUCAAGAAAGUUGUCUGUCAAGGGCAAGAAGGCUAGAAGGCGGCAUCACAGUGAUGAUUCAUCGUCUGAUUCUGAUUCUGACUCUUAUUCAGAGUCUGAUCAUGAGAAGAAACAGGUGAAAGUCCAUAGGAGACAUUUUGUGGGUGAUGAUGAUGGCCGUGAUGCAAAAACCAUUAAGCUUCAACAGGGUAGAAGACAUGAUUCUGAUGAGGAUGACCAUGUCAAUGACCGUGAUGUCAAAAACAAGACGAUUCAGAAAGAGAAAAGACAUGUUGCUGAGGAUAAAUAUGAUGAUGGUCGUGAUGCUAAAAACAAGACCUCACAAAGAGGUAGAAGACAUGAUUCUGAUGAGGAUGACCAUGACAAUGACCGUGAUGUCAUAAACAAGAUGAUUCAGAAAGAAAAACGACAUGUUGCUGAGGAUAAAUAUGAUGAUGGUCGUGAUGCUAAAAACAAGAAGUCACAAAGAAAACACUAUUCUGAUGAUGAUGGUGGUGGUGAUCCUGAUGUAAAAAUCAGGAAGAUUCAGGAAGGGAGAAGACAUAACUCUAAAGCUGAGUAUGUGAUUGAUGGAUCAAGUGCUAGUCAGGAGUUGUUGCGGGGUAAGAGAAAACUAGACGAUGAAAGCCUGGAUCAACGUGAGGGGAAGUCAAGGAGGAAAUGACAAUGAUGAUGGUCGUGAUGCUAAAAACAAGAAGUCACAAAGAAAACACUAUUCUGAUGAUGAUGGUGGUGGUGAUCCUGAUGUAAAAAUCAGGAAGAUUCAGGAAGGGAGAAGACAUAACUCUAAAGCUGAGUAUGUGAUUGAUGGAUCAAGUGCUAGUCAGGAGUUGUUGCGGGGUAAGAGAAAACUAGACGAUGAAAGCCUGGAUCAACGUGAGGGGAAGUCAAGGAGGAGAGAUUCUAGUAAAGACGAAAAGUAUUUAAGGGCUGAUACUGAAGCUGAGAACCCAAAUAGGUCAUACAGGAGUACAGAGGAUAGGAGUAAAGAUCAACAGACAAGAAGAUCUGGUGGAGAAUAUGAAGGUAAUGAUGGAGAGCGUGAAAAUAAGAUUCAGAGUGGGAAUGAGCUGCAACGUGAAAGCCAACGGGAGAAUCGAGAUUAUGAAGUGCGUGGACAGGAGAGAAGAGAAAGCAGGGAUGAUGACCGCUGGGAAAGGAAACACAAAAGAGAUGAAGAGGAAGAUCAGUACCGGAAGCAUGAGAAAGAAGGGGAAUCUCAGCGUGGAAGGCAUGAACAGGAGGAGGAG
rnacentral:lncRNA from 1 species